rnacentral:rRNA from 1 species
GUGGGGAAUCUUCCACAAUGGACGAAAGUCUGAUGGAGCAACGCCGCGUGAGUGAAGAAGGUCUUCGGAUCGUAAAGCUCUGUUGUCAGGGACGAAUGUUGGGACUGUGAAUAAUGGUUUCAAAUGACGGUACCUGACGAGGAAGCCACGGCUAACUACGUGCCAGCAGCCGCGGUAAUACGUAGGCGGCGAGCGUUGUCCGGAAUUAUUGGGCGUAAAGGGAGCGCAGGUGGGAAAGUAAGUCUGUCUUAAAAGUGCGGGGCUCAACCCCGUGAGGGGACAGAAACUAUUUUGCUUGAGUGCAGGAGAGGAAAGCGGAAUUCCUAGUGUAGCGGUGAAAUGCGUAGAGAUUUGGAAGAACACCAGUGGCGAAGGCGACUUUCUGGACGAUGUCUGACGCUGAGGCGCGAAAGCUAGGGGAGCGAACGGGAUUAGAUACCCCUGUAGUCC